UGAGUUUCCACCGGUGCACACAGGUUGUAGAUUUGAGGGUUUUGUUUCUUUGUUUUUUGAUUUAUUUGUUUAUUUUUGAGUUUUUGGCUAUUUCCUUGAAGAUUAUAGAUCUGAUUCCUUAGGGGAUAUAGCAAAAUGAUCAUGGAUGGAAUUUCAGCACUGUCCACCGUUCCGUUUCCCCUGAGUCAUCACCACAAAGAAAGCUUUCUCUGGACUCUCUCUUCUCUUCCCUGUGAGCCUGUGAGCUCUUAGAGAAUUUCUUGAAGGAAAAACAUGAAAGGGAGGCGUUGACUUUCUUUCUGUAACCUGCAGUAUCUUCACACUCUCAUGCUAGCCCACACUUGACUUUAAGGAAUUCUUAAAAUUCCAAGCUGCAGCUUCUUACUAGUUUCUAUGGUGUUCUGUGGCCUCUACGACAGAUAUGUGUUCGCUGGAUAUAUCUGGGAGAAAAGAGUCUACUUUAUAUUUAUUCAGAAGACAUGAUCAUGUGGAUUUGGGAAGACGUGGGAACAUGGAAGAUUAAGAAAAACACCUGGGAAAAAAUAUCAGCAAUACAGGUUUGUUAAAACUGAACAUGUGGCUGGUCGCGGUGGCUCACGCCUGUAAUCCCAACACUGGGAGGCCGAGGUGGAUGGAUCACGAGGUCAGAAGAUCAAGACCAUCCUGGCUAACACGGUGAAACCCCAUUUCUACUAAAAAUACAAAAAAUUA
rnacentral:lncRNA from 1 species